CCUACGGGUGGCAGCAGUGAGGAAUAUUGGUCAAUGGGCGGGAGCCUGAACCAGCCAAGUCGCGUGAAGGAUGACUGCCCUACGGGUUGUAAACUUCUUUUAUAGAGGAACAAAGUGAGGCACGUGUGCCUUUUUGUAUGUACUUUAUGAAAAAGGAUCGGCUAACUCCGUGCCAGCAGCCGCGGUAAUACGGAGGAUCCGAGCGUUAUCCGGAUUUAUUGGGUUUAAAGGGUGCGUAGGUGGGUCGUUAAGUCAGGUGUGAAAGUUUGGGGCUCAACCGUAAAAUUGCCAUUGAAACUGGCAGUCUUGAGUACACUAGAGGUAGGCGGAAUGCGUGGUGUAGCGGUGAAAUGCUUAGAUAUCACGAAGAACUCCGAUUGCGAAGGCAGCGUACU
rnacentral:rRNA from 1 species